ensembl:misc_RNA Metazoa_SRP Metazoan signal recognition particle RNA
GCUGGGCAUGGUAGCGCAUGCCUGUAAUCCCAGCUACUUGGGAGGCUGAGGCAGGAGAAUCACUUGAACCAGGGAGUCAGAGGUUGCAGUGAGCUGAGACAGUGCCAUUGAACUCCAGCCUGGCUAUAGAGUGAUACUCCGUCUCCC